rnacentral:lncRNA from 1 species
UUACUCAAGAUGACUAUAUGACUCAAUUCUGUUUUUUCAAAAAGGUUUUUCUUAUUUCUAGAUUCACAAAAAUUAGAUGAGAAGAAUGCCUAUGAUCUUCAAAUCUGAGUUCAUCUAUAUGUGGACCAUGGACAGGCAGGGUUCAAGUAACUGUCAGAAAAAAAAUAAGUAGAAGAAGGCAGAGGACUCCCAGUGAAAUGCUGACUAUAGACAAAUCUGGGAAUAAAUAACAGAGAUUUAUGAAUUUUCAGACAAAGAAAAACUCUGUGAGAGCGCAUGCUGUACUUCUGAUUCCAGCAAAUGUGCACAGGAAGCCCACCCUCGGUAUCACAAUAGCACUCCAUGCUGAUGAUCACCAGAGUCCAGUGUUCAAUUUAGAGGCAAUGUCAAAACGAGCAACAAUCGAAGAGAAACCAGCCUGGAUUGAUUUAAAGAACGGGCCUGAAGGAACCUCUCAGAGUAUGUUUGUGUCUUUGUAUAACUGGAGCUGGCUUUCUGUAAAUGAGAUGCAAAAUGGAGGAAUUCAGGAAAUUCAUAUGGCAGUUUCAGUGCUGCGCAGGACUGCAUGUUUGAUCCCAGAGGUACCUUGA